GCAACUGGGGCAGCCGGGAGGUAGGCGCGGGGCGGUUGGCUGCGGUGGCGGAGGUUGGAUGAUUGUCUCUCGGCGGCGGAGUCGGAUACUGUGGCGUAUGAGGACCUGUCUGAGGACUAUACUCAGAAGAAAUGGAAAGGUGUCGCACUCAGUCAGAGAGCCCUGCACUGGAACAUGAUGCUGGAAAAUGACCGUAGCAUGACUUCCUUGGCAGGUAGGAACAUGAUGGAGAGUUCAGAGCUGACUCCGAAGCAGGAAAUUUUUAAAGUAUCAGAGUCAUCUAAUAGUACAUCAGGGGGAUUCUUUGGGGUGGUUCCUGGGGAAACAGAGACUGGAGAUGUUUGUGAAGAUACCUUCGAAGAGUUAGAAGGACAACCCUCAAAUGAAGAAGGGAGCAGACUAGAAAGUGAUUUCUUGGAAAUAACAGAUGAGGAUAAGAAAAAAUCCACAAAAGACGGAUAUGAGGAAUAUAAGGAAGUUGGGGAACAUCCACAUCUGUCUUCCAGUCCUGUUGAACAUGAAGGAGUUUUAAAGGGACAGAAAUCCUAUCGAUGUGACGAAUGUGGCAAAGCUUUUUAUUGGAGUUCGCACCUCAUUGGUCAUCGGAGAAUCCACACUGGAGAGAAACCCUAUGAGUGUAAUGAGUGUGGGAAGACCUUCAGGCAAACCUCCCAGCUCAUUGUUCAUCUCAGAACCCACACAGGGGAAAAACCCUAUGAAUGCAGUGAGUGUGGAAAGGCCUAUAGGCACAGCUCCCAUCUCAUUCAACACCAGAGACUCCAUAAUGGGGAGAAACCCUAUAAAUGUAAUGAAUGUGCAAAAGCUUUUAAUCAGAGCUCCAAACUCUUCGACCACCAGAGAACCCAUACUGGGGAGAAACCUUAUGAAUGUAAGGAGUGUGGGGCAGCCUUUAGUCGGAGUAAAAAUCUUGUUCGACAUCAGGUUCUGCACACUGGUAAGAAACCUUAUAAGUGUAAUGAAUGUGGGAGAGCAUUCUGUUCCAAUAGAAAUCUCAUUGACCAUCAGAGAACCCACACUGGGGAGAAGCCUUAUAAAUGUAAUGAAUGUGGCAAAGCCUUCAGUCGGAGUAAAUGUCUUAUUCGACAUCAGAGCCUCCACACUGGGGAAAAGCCAUACAAAUGUAGUGAAUGUGGGAAAGCCUUCAAUCAGAUCUCUCAACUUGUUGAACAUGAGCGAAUUCAUACUGGAGAAAAACCAUUUAAGUGUAGUGAGUGUGGUAAGGCAUUCGGUCUGAGUAAAUGUCUUAUUCGGCACCAGAGACUUCACACAAGUGAAAAGCCCUAUAAAUGCAAUGAGUGUGGAAAA
rnacentral:sRNA from 1 species